UGGCUCAGGACGAACGCUGGCGGCACGCCUAGCACAUGCAAGUCGAACGGAGAUUACUUAGCUUGCUUGUAAUCUUAGUGGCGGACGGGUGAGUAACACGUGAGCAACCUGCCUCUGAGAGAGGGAUAGCUUCUGGAAACGGAUGGUAAUACCUCAUAACAUACAUUGACCGCAUGAUCGAUGUAUCAAAGAUUUAUCACUCAGAGAUGGGCUCGCGUCUGAUUAGCUAGUUGGUGAGGUAACGGCCCACCAAGGCGACGAUCAGUAGCCGGACUGAGAGGUUGAACGGCCACAUUGGGACUGAGACACGGCCCAGACUCCUACGGGAGGCAGCAGUGAGGGAUAUUGCACAAUGGAGGAAACUUCCUGAUGCAGCGAUGCCGCGUGGAGGAAGAAGGUUUUCGGAUUGUAAACUCCUGUUUCGAGGGACGAUAAUGACGGUACCUCGGGAGGAAGCUCCGGCUAACUACGUGCCAGCCGCCGC
rnacentral:rRNA from 1 species